AAAAGUCGUAACAAGGUUUCCGUAGGUGAACCUGCGGAAGGAUCAUUACCGUGCAACCGAGGCACGAGGGCUGUCGCUGACCACCUUCAAAGGUCGUGCACGCCCGAGCGCUCUCACCCCCCAAUCCACCUUCACCCUUGUGCAUCACCGCGCGGUGACCCCUUUGGCUCGUUCCGAAGGGGCCCCGCGUUCUUCACACGAACACCUGGUCUAGAAUGUCUUUGCGAUUACAUGCAACCAAUACAACUUUCAACAACGGAUCUCUUGGCUCUCGCAUCGAUGAAGAACGCAGCGAAAUGCGAUACGUAAUGUGAAUUGCAGAAUUCAGUGAAUCAUCGAAUCUUUGAACGCACCUUGCGCCCCUUGGCAUUCCGAGGGGCACACCCGUUUGAGCGUCGUGACAUCCAUCAAACCUUGCUGGUUCCUUGACCAGGAAGGCUUUGGACUUUGGAGGGAUCUUGCCGGCUUUGAACGAAGCCGGCUCCUCUUAAAUGGAUUAGCGGGGUACCCAUUGGUGAUCCCUUGACGUGAUAAGCCAUUUCUACGUCUUGGGGUUAUAGGCUCUGUGACCCGCUCCGAACCGUCUCGUCGUCAGAGACAGCGGCUCGAGUUUGCCACCUCUCGGGGUGGGAAGCUCGACCCAGAACCCUUGACCUCAAAUCGGGUGAGACUACCCGCUGAACUUAAGCAUAUCAAUAAGCGGAGGA
rnacentral:rRNA from 1 species